GCCCCAACAUGGGCCCGAUCCCACAAACCAUGAGAUCACGACCGGAGCUGAAAUCAAGAGUGGGACGCCUCACCGACUAAACCACCCAGCGGCCCCUAGACAACUUUUCAAAGGAACGUCACUGUUUCCCUAACCUCCAGUGUGGAAUCAAAUAACCUCAUGUUUUAUUAUAAUGCUAUAAAAAUUGAACUAAGUGGAAGGAUAGAACUCUUAAAGAACUGUAUAAUCAAAAUGAAACUGCUAAUUACGUGAAAACACUGUUGCGAGCACACAGAAUUAAAAGCAACAACACGGAUAGGACGGAUGAUGCUUUGCUGGGACCCAGCGGCCGCUCAGGACGUAGAAAGAGGAACCGAGUGUAUGAUGGAGAUUCUUUUGGGUUUGGCGUGGCUUCUCCAAGGAACUCGCUGCACUGCUGCGGGUCUUUUGCCUCAAAUGGCAGGUGUUUGACACACUCUGGCCUUUGCUUUGUGGACAUCCACUCUUUCACACCAAAUAUGACCCCUUAUUAGCUCCGCUCGUGACAAUUAAAGCAAUAGCACCUGGUCCCAGUGCUGGACCCAAUGGCAGUGUUGGACUGGAGGGAGUCAAUCAGACGAUGGAGUAUUUGCUCUUCCUUCUCCACCUGCCACGUUCGAGAAGCCCAAGUCCCUGUGGACAUCACCCGGAGAAGGAGCCGUCCUCAGUGGGCCCUGAAUUCCUGACCCACGGAAUUGUGAGAAAUAAGAAAAUAGUUGCUGUUCGAAGCCACUGAGUUUUGGGGAUAGUCUGUUACACGGCAACAGAUAAGACAAACAAGAUGCGUUUAUGCAAUUCUUGCGGAGGGACAGUGCCACGCGGAGGAACAAGCACAAACAAUGAAGGUUAGAUGGACCUGGGUUCGAAUUCCUCAGCCACCAGGAGCUGUGCGAUGCUCGUUGCAGAAGCCUGGCCGCAUCCACUCCGUCCGAACCCUGUGGGCGCCUCCCUAUCUGCAAUUGUUCCAGGUUGCACAGCAUUUUGUAAAGUCCACGGGACUGAUGUAUCCCCAGUGUCCAAAGCAGUGCUUGACGCACAGUGUGUGCUCAGGAAGUACUUGUUGAAUAAACCAGAUGGACAGCCUAAGCCCAUUUGGAGGAGUAGCCCUCUAACAGGCCAGAGAUGAGCCGAGGCUGUGUGUUUGAACUUCCAUCACUACGGUCUGGAAGUCGGCACUCGCUAAGUGCGGACAUCAUUGGUGGCCUCAUCCAUGUUUGGCCCCUCCUGCGUCUCUGCUCACAGAAUCGCAAUUGUGCCCAGAGCAGCGGUGUGUCCAGCCCCCAGUGGUGGAUCCUGACUGGUCCACACUAGUCAUGACGACCCUUCAUCUUCCCAGCCUCCUUUGUGGCUAGGAAUGGCCAUGGAGCCUGUUUUGGCCAAUGAGACCAAAGUGGAAGCCUAUUGGUUAUGGGAAGGGUUUCUGGGAAAGUGUUAGCUUUCUUGGUAGAUGGAGGCCAAUGCAAUUGCACCUGUCCUUCCUCCUUCCUCCGCUGAAGGUGGAUGUGAUUGCUGGAGCAGGAGAAGCUGUCUUGUAACCACGAGCAAGAGGCCAAGAGAACUGCAAAGAAGCUCUGAAACUUUUUAUAACUUCUUGUUAUAAAACAAAAACAAUUCCCCAAGUCAGUAUAGUCAGGUUUUCUUUUACAUGUGGCCAAAGAAAGCCCAAAUGAUACACAGGUUGUCUGGUUGAAAAAACUGAGUUACGUAUGACACAUGAGCACGAAGGCUUAAAAGAGUUUCAGAGCCCUUACGUGUCCUUGAUUGAAGGGGUAAACUGGUAGAUUAAGUCCAAGAAACUGAAUUUUAUAGAAGACUUUUAUAAAGAGUGUCAGGAGUCAUGUGCUCAGCUUGUCAAUAAAAACAAGAAAAUCUGCAACUUU